CCCUUAGAUGUCCUGGGCCGCACGCGCGUUACACUGAUGCAUUCAACGAGCUUAUAACCUUGGCCGAGAGGCCUGGGCAAUCUUGUUAACGUGCAUCGUGAUAGGGAUAGAUUAUUGAAAUUAUUAAUCUUGAACGAGGAAUGCCUAGUAGGCGCAAGUCAUCAGCUUGCGUCGAUUACGUCCCUGCCCUUUGUACACACCGCCCGUCGCUCCUACCGAUUGGGUGUGCUGGUGAAAUGUUCGGAUCGGCCGUUUGUCGCGGUUUCCGCGUCAUGUGGCUGAGAAGUUCAUUAAACCCUCCCACCUAGAGGAAGGAGAAGUCGUAACA
rnacentral:rRNA from 1 species